rnacentral:misc_RNA from 1 species
UAUCAUUCACUACAUAAACUAAUAUUUAGAUAUCUAAUAGUCACUGAUAUCUAAACAGAAUAUUAGUUUUUUGUGAAUGAAUUUUUCGUACAAGCAAUUUUUUCGUAUUAUAAUUCCCAACACCCGUGCAGUUACCCGCCACCGGUAGAGAUAAAACGAACUCCAGACUUCAUUCGACAUCGCCAAACAAACGAAAAUUGUUACAAAAGCCUACGGACCGUAGGCCGCGAAACAACGCUUUUCUACAGACUCUCAUCUGUUUUUCUCGUCGAAAGUGCUCGGUGGUUUUUCACAAAAACAAAUGAGAAAAUAAAAUAAGCUAGAAUCUACAACGCCAUAUUGGAACCAAACCAAAGAUAUAAUACGAGUUAACCCCGUCAAAGUAGAAGAAAUGGCUUCAGAUUUAAUAGCACCGGCUGUUGUCGUUGUAGGCCUAUUUGUUAUAAAUGCCGCAGUUCUCUUCCUCAUCCGGAGGGCAAGAAAAAGGCAAGAUUUGACAAACAUAAAUGACGAAGAAUUAGGUUCAUUUACUCUCUCCUCACCUGUUGAAUGAAUGUUGCCUUAAUUUAUUUGUAAUUUGUAAUAUAUAAAAUAAAAAUUAUAUACAUUUAAUAUUUUUUCCUAUGAAUAAAUUUAUAUUUAUGUCGAAAUAUGUACCGUUAUUUCGAAGUAUCGAGUUUUGAAUAUAUUGUAUAAGAAUUACAACAUUCUUAAUAAAAAUUUUGUUGUUUUA